rnacentral:rRNA from 1 species
CGACCCCGCAAGGGGAGUGGCAGACGGGUGAGUAACGCGUGGGAACGUGCCCUAAGGUACGGAACAACUCCGGGAAACUGGAGCUAAUACCGUAUGUGCCCGAGAGGGGAAAGAUUUAUCGCCUUGGGAUCGGCCCGCGUCUGAUUAGCUAGUUGGUAGGGUAACGGCCUACCAAGGCUACGAUCAGUAGCUGGUCUGAGAGGAUGACCAGCCACACUGGGACUGAGACACGGCCCAG